AGCUUCCUUCUGCAUCGCAUCCAAAAUCAGCUAUCCACUUGUGAUUAGUGGCCCAUGAGUCUCCAACAGAUUUCAGAACAUUGUAAAGGUCAGUGUGUGGGGUACAACAAUGGGAUAAAGCUUGUGAAGAUCCUCCACAGUUCCUAUCACCAGCUGCCAGAACAUGUAAAACAGGAAAAGUUCAAGAAAUGAAAAUGCAGUUUCAGAUCAGGAGCCUUUCUGGCACUACUAUAAACAAGUAGAAGUAUACCUCAUUCAUGGGACCAGCUUCAUCAUAUGGAGGAAAUCCAAUGAUGUCUCUAAAGGUCAUCACCUUCUUUCUCAGCUCCAUCAUCAUCAUCAAGUUUCCUGUCAACCCACAUGACUCAUCUAUCAUCAUGCCUGCCACAUUCUUCUGAUUCUUGGUUAGAUCUGCACUUCUUGCCUGCAACAGAAACUCUUUUCUAGUCAACAUUGUUAAUCUCAACUAUGAUAAAUCCAUGGAAAUUUUUACUCUUGAGGAAGCUAACUGCAUAUUGUCAUACAUAUUCUCUGUUUUUCCAGAAAUCCAAUGAACAGUGUAGUAAAACUACAUUUUUUUAGGUUGGAACAUAAUGCUUCUAAUCAUUUCCUAAUUGCAAAGGAACUGAUACAUUAUAUGGCUUUAGAAUAUUUCUCUGGCAUUGAUUUCCCUGGAAAGGAAGCCCAAGUAAAUCAUUUUGACAUCAUAAUUGUGCUUUUUCAGUAAUGCAGAUAAUAUUGUUAUAAAUUACAUAGCUCUGUGUUUAUCAAUAGGUAAAUGUGUGUUUGCAUGUCUGGUCAUUUUUUGUAAUGCAGAAAUAACGUUGUAAAUUACAUGGCUAUGGUUUUUUUUAUCAAUGAGUGAGUGAUCGGUUUGAUUCCAUUAUAGGGGGAGAGAAAAUUUUGGCUUGAUAAGGAAAGGUUCUUAACCAUGCUCUGUAUUUAGAGGAUUUUUAUGUUUGAAAUGCUUUCAUGUACAUGGUUUUAUAUGCCAUGUCAAAGGAGAAAAGAAGUGAGAACAUGAUGCCAACAACAUUUUCCUUUCAUAUUCAAGAUGACAAAUUGUGCAGUUACAGGUAGUACCUGGAAUACGCUUGAAUUGCCUUUGGUCGGCAGUGCAGACACGCCUAGUAACCCAGAUUCCAUCCAAAUCCCUAAUGCUGCCUUUUAAUCAAACUUUGCUGAGGAAGAUGAUGUCUGAAUUCGAAUCUCUUUACCAUAUACCUCUUGAGCCUUAGGCUGAAGGAAUUGGAAUAGCGAUAUAUUCUAAUAAAUGGCUGCUUGUGUUGUGCUUCUUAACAGGGAAUUUACAUAUGUACUAGAGAGAAAGCCAUUGAAGGUCCAAAGAUGAGAAGAAGAUGAUUGAAAGGAAUUGCAGGGACAAAGCCAAAGUUCAAGGAAAAUGGAAGGUUCAAGAGAGACAAGAGCAGCAAGCAACAGCAGCAGCAGCAAUGCCUCCGCUUCCUCCUCCUCCUCUGGAGGGCCAAACUGCAAGGGGAACCUCUCACCGGCUAGUUUUUUCUGCUUCUGGUUUGAACCUAUAAUGGCUAAUUCAUUCCUCUCCUUCAAUUUAGGAAUUGGUGGGUUGAAAGUCUGCCACUUGUUUGUGAAUUGGAAGCAAAUUAACUGCUAACAUGGCAAUUUGUUUGUUUAAUAUCACAAACUCAGAUUUAUUUUUCA